UGGCUCAGAUGGUAAAGCGUCUGCCCACAAUGCAGGAGACCCGGGUUCGAUUCCUGG
rnacentral:tRNA from 1 species